rnacentral:rRNA from 1 species
GUCUACGGCCAUGCCACCUUGAAUAUGCCUGACUUCGUCUGAUCUCGGAAACUAAGCAGGGUUGGGCCUGGUUAGUACUUGGAUGGCAGACCACCAAGGAAUACCAGGUGCUAUAGGCG